UUCAGAUUGUAUCAGUGCUGUCUGGGAUGCAGAAUUCCUUGUUCCACAGACAUUGGGCCUAAGAGCUUUCUAAAUGUUCUCGCAUGGAAUGGACACAUUUUUAAUGCUAUGAGAUCAUUCUGAUUGCUGGACUGUGCUGAGAACUGAUUUAAGAAAUGGACAUCUAGAGGGAUGGCAGCCUAUGGAAGCCUGCCUUCUGAUUUAGAUCAACCUGUGGAGAUUUUUCCCGUCUGACUCCACUAUCUAGGUAGGCCUUUGAACUAUGGUGCUGGAGAAGACUCCUGCGAGUCCCUUGGACUGCAAGGCGAUCAAACCGGUCAGUCCUAGAGAAGAUCAACCCUGAUAGAAGGCCAGAUCCUGAAGAUGAAACUCAAAUAUUUUGCCCACCUAAUGAGAAGGAAGGACUCACUGGGGAAGAGCCUAAUGCUGGGAAAGAUUGAGGGCAGAAGAAGAACGGGACGACAGAGAAUUGUUCUGUCCCCGUUCCACUCACGCACCCCCACAGACGGUCCGGAGUUAAUAAGCCACACAACAAAACUCUUUGAUGAUAAAGCUGGCAGCAACCCAGUGACUAGCUGCCAAUUCAGACUUUACUCACACAAAACAAAGAUUAGACUGCCAGCAUUCCGAUAAAACAGGCAGAGUGUCAACAAUACAAGGAUUCAUCCAAAUGCAGUCCGAUAAAGCAGGCAAAGUCCAGUAACACAGAGAUCAUGGAGUAUUUCCAGUUUUUGCUCGUCACAAACUGAACCGGCUACCACACCCAUAUUUAUACCCUGUGGGGUGUGGUCCAAUGACUCAGCUAAUCUCUGGCACGCCUUCUCCUCUGCUGCGCAUGCUUCUCCCUGCGCCUCUGGCAAGGGUCCAGCCAGCACUUAUCUCCUUCGUCACUGUCCACCUGUGGCUGCGGGGACGUGCUUGGCUCUGAGCCUAUCUUUUGGCCUUCAGUGUCCUCCGGAGGUAUUGCCAGAGAGGAGGAUCCUGGAGAGGGAGGCCUUGCCAACUCCUCUUCCUCACUCUCAGAGUCUGCAUCUGUCAAUAGCCCAGGCUCAGGCAAUGGAGCCAUAACAAGAAUGAGGUGGCUGGAUGGAGUCACCAAAGCAAUCGGCGUGAGCUUAAAUGGACUCCAGGGAAUGGUAGAGGACAGGAAGGCCUGGAGGAAUGUUGUCCAUGGGUUGCAAUGGGGGGGAUACGACUUUACAACUAACAAGAACAGUCCUUGACUUACAACAGUUUGUUGAGUGACCGUUCAAAGUUACAACGGCACUGAAAAAAGUGACUUAUGACCGUUUUUCACAGUUAUGACCUUUCCAGCAUCCCCAUGAUCAUGUGAUCAAACUUAAGAUGCUUGGCAACUGGUUCAUAUUUAUGAUUGUUGCUGUGUCUCAGAUUCACGUGAUCACCUUUUGCGUCCUUCUGACAAGCAAAAUCAAUGGGGAAGCCAGAUUCACUUAAUAACAGUGUUACUAACUUAUCAACUGCAGUGAUUCACUUAACAACUGUAGCAAGAAAGGUUGUAAAAUGUGACAAAGCUCACUUAAGAAAUCUCUCAUUUAACAACAGAAGUUUGGGGCUCAAUUGUGGUGGUAACUUGAGGACUACCUGUAUCAUAUAAAUUGGUUGAUUUCAUAUGAGUUACAUCAUAUUUUUAGGCAAAAAUAUGAACUCAGCUAUGGAUUGUGGUUUGUAAACUGGGAUUUAUGGCAGAGAUGAGCAAUGUCCUGAUGACUGGAGUGGAGACCCAAUUAAAAUUUUGUAGGUGA